UAUUGUAAUGUAAGAUGUAAAUUCAUAACCUACUUACAUUGUCUUUCAACAUGUAAUGAAUAAUAUGUAUUUUGGCAUUCAUAUCAUAAAAGUGAGCUUUUAGCAUCUAUUGUAGUGUGCUUCAACAAUUCUGUGGAUUUUCCCUUAUGUAGCCAGCCAGUUUUUGGGGUACAUUUUCUCCAGAUUUACAGUCAAUUCAGUCAAGUUAUCAGGAUCAGCAGUUCCAAGCAUCUAUUUCAGAUAUAAUGGAAGCUGCUGAAACAUCCUCGUAUAUCAGUGCCAGCCCUGACCUUUUCUCCCCGAGAUUGUAACACAUCGUCAUAAAAUAACGUCGGCGUGAUGGAGAAUCAUCUGCCCCGUGAAGAGGGAUUCUACAUCUGGAUCCUUAAAGAGGGAGCUCUGAUCAGGACGACUCUUCAGUUACAAAUGGGUGACACUAACCUGACAAACUGCCUGGAAAAAACAGCAACACUCUGCCCUAGAAUAAAUAUGUGCCUUCAAGAGCUCUGCUUCUGGAAGUUUCUGAAGGUACAAAGGAGACGAGCACACACAGUGAUGGGAGUUCUCAAAGGUACACCCAGGAGGUUCCCUUCAAAGAGAUGCUGCUGUCAUUGAUAUUAGUCAGUGUAAAUAUUGAAAUGAGGUCUUUCUUUAAAGAUAUUGGUGUGUUUUCAGAUCAAACUGCUUUGAAAGCUCCCCAUUGCUCUACUCACAGCAGGUAUUUUUUAUACAAUGAAAUGUAUUCUGGACAAUGCUUGAUUUCAUUUUCCUCUCUGGAAAAUUAUUAGAUUUUCAUAAAGUUUUUAUCCACUGUGUGCAGGCACAAGGUAUGUGAAGAAGUUCUUUGGAUUGGAUUUCUUAACUGUCAAAUAAUUUAUUCUCUUCAUGUAGUCUUUUGGUGUAUGGA